rnacentral:rRNA from 1 species
CCUACGGGUGGCAGCAGUGGGGAAUAUUGCACAAUGGGGGAAACCCUGAUGCAGCAACGCCGCGUGAGUGAAGAAGGUUUUCGGAUUGUAAAGCUCUGUUAGCAGGGAAGAGGAAGGACGGUACCUGCAGAGGAAGCCACGGCUAACUACGUGCCAGCAGCCGCGGUAAGACGAAGGUGGCAAGCGUUGUUCGGAAUAACUGGGCGUAAAGGAUGCGUAGGCGGUUAAACAAGUCAUAUGUUAAAUAUAUAGGCUUAACCUGAAGAAAGCAUAUAAAACUGUUUAACUAGAGUGCAGGAGAGGUAAGUGGAAUUCCUGGUGUAGCGGUGAAAUGCGUAGAGAUUAGGAGGAAUACCAGUGGCGAAGGCGGCUUACUGGACUGUAACUGACGUUGAGGCUCGAAAGCGUGGGGAGCAAACAGGAUUAGAUACCCGGGUAGUC